UACAAAAAAAAAUGCAUAAUAAUAAUAAACAAACGAACUUAACAAAUGAACAAUUAAUGUAAGAAACCGCAAAUCUUAAAGGAAACCGCACCCGCCAAGGAUAUACAAACACAAAAGAUAGAACUUAAGGCACAAAGCAAAGUGGGCUCUUUGGAUAACAUAAAGCACAAGCCCGGUGGUGGGGAGAGGAAAAUUUUUGACGAUAAGGACUAUUUGAAAAAUGUUGAGCAUACAGUUGCACUGACACCACCGACACAGAGUCCACAACCAUCCAUGACGACUUCAACAACUGGUGCCGAUGAAAAUUUAAAUCAGCAGAGUUAAAUUAAUUAAUUAAGCACGAAA